rnacentral:piRNA from 1 species
GUGUAGAGGGUUUGGCCUGCAUUUGCUC